CUCUUUCCCUGUUUGAUCCAGAAGGAGGCAGUAAUGCAAUUAAAAAGGAUGCCAACAGCUGUAAAACACCAAAGAAGAAGAAUUUUCACUGUAGCACAAGCUAAAGAACAGCAUGAUUCAAGACCUCCUUUAAUCUUGUUCCAUCUGCCUGUGUGAUCCUUGGGGAAGCUUUGUUUAAGGAGGCAGUAAUGCAAUUAAAAAGGAUGCCAACUGCUGUAAAACACCAAAGAAGAAGAAUUUUCACUGUAACACAAGCUAAAGAACAGCAUGAUUCAAGACCUCCUUUAAUCUUGUUCCAUCUGCCUGUGUGAUCCUUGGGGAAGCUUUGUUUCCGACACUGAUGAAGAGCGGUGUCAUUUCGAACAGCGAACUGAUCCAGCUGAGGAUCAACUUCUUGCAUGCUGAUCAGGAAACACGGCCUAGUUCACCACUAGCUAAGAAGCCACGCAAGUGUUGCAAGAGUACAACCAGUCUCAUCUCAUCUUCCAUGCGUAUAGUUUGCUUCAAUAAAUGUUCUGAAAAUCAAAA